AUUCCUGGCCUCACUUAGUGGGUUGGGAUUCUGGUAUUGCCAUCAGCUGUGGUGUAAGUCACAGGUGAGGCUUGGAUCCUAUAUUUGCUGUGGCUGUGGUGUAGGCUGGCAGUUAUAGCUCUGAUUCGACCCCUAGCCUGGGAACUUCCAUAUGCCCCAAGUGCGGCCCUGAAAANAAAAAAAAAAAAAAAAAAAAAAAAAAGGAAAUCCAGCCAUUUGCAGCAACAUGGAAACAUGGAUAGACCUAGAGAACACCACACUCAGUGAAUUAUGUCAGACAAUGAUGAAAAGCCAAACACUGGAAGAUGUCACAUAUGUGGAAUCUAAAAAACAAAUGUAUAUAGCAAACCAGCAACAGACUCACAAAGAAAACAAACUCUGCUUUACCUGCGGAACAGGAAGGAGGGAGGGUGUUGGCUGGGCUGCACCCUGCAGGCCUUGUAGUUGACCAGCAAUGAGACCAAAGAGCCCAGAGACAGUGACAGAGACAUGAAAGGCUUAUCCAAAGCAAAAGCUCCUGGGUGACAUCACAGUGGAGCCCAGUGCAGCAAGCUGGAGAGAUGGCAGCCAUCUUUACUACUCUGGGGAGGAGGAGCCUGACACUUAUAGGGGAACUGACGUCACCUUGGCUCAUCAGUUAACAGGGAAACCAGAGUUGGGCAUGUCCCUCACAGCCGGUCAGGUUAAUGAGCAUCACAAAGGUAUAUGUUUCCCUUUAAUGAACUAGCAGGUGGAGCCUUUCUGGCCUAAGGAUUAGAAUAAUCACUAGCUGGGGCAGGGGGCAAGCACAUUCACGUGCCUAGGGUGUAGGUGAGGCAGGGACUGGUGGCACAUGGGAUGUACAAAGAGCAAGACAACAGCUGUCUUGAGUCGCCUGACCAUCCAGUCCACUCCAGAUACCCUGUACAACCCUUACAAUCUUGGUCUUCCCCUCUUCUGUGAUAUUCCUGAGAUCAGAAUGACAAGGAGCACUGUAGCCAAAUACAAUACAAAUACAACACAAACGAAACAGAGUCCAAGGGGUGGGCAGCCUUUGAAGCCAGGUGCUUAUUGGGUCAAUUUUUCAUGGGAGUCCCAAGGAGGGUGAGAAUGGAGGACUGCAGACCCAGCAGUCACACUCAUUUAGCCCUGAGGCCACUACUGUCAGCCAGUGGCUCACAGCAGGGAUGGAAUGUAAGAUGUUUAAACAGGCACAGGAAGGGGAAGAUCAAGACCAUUAAGCAAAGUUCAAGCAGAAUAGCAUUCUGAGAUAACAGACUGCCCCUGCCCAGUUGUGUCCUGGCCUGCAGCUCCAUACUGCCUGUCCACCUGCAUCCACCCACAGUUCCCACAGCUGGUGCUGGAUGCUGGAGACGAUGUUAACAGAAUGGCACCUUUCUCUAGUAAGGGGCGGAGAUGAAUUACCUUACAGUCUUAAGGGGGACUAGGGUAGAAUACAGGUGAAAUCUCUAAGUCCCUUUCUAGUCUUAUUCCCCAUGAGACAGCAAAGCCAAACCACAGAGAUUUACCUGUCGAUUCCAGGGCCGUUUUGUAUGUCUCCCUCUGAGGGUAGAUCCUGGGGCAAGAGCAAAAACAGCUGAACUUGGGGUGUGUUGACUAUUAUUUUUUCUCAGUUGACAUAGGGUAGGAAAUGGGACAAUUGCUCCUGGUGUAUUUCUGCAUGUUGAAAGAGCGAGUUUCUCUGUGUAGUUGCUGUUUAAGUAGUCCACCCAUCCUUUCAGUUAGCCCACAAGCAGUGGGGUUGUAGGGAAUGUGUAAAUGACAGCAUAGGUCAAUUUAUCGGCCCAUUCCUGAACGUCAUGGCUGGGAAAGUAGUUUCUGUGGGCGCUGUCGAUGUCCCUAGGGCUUCUGUAUGUCACGCACAGCGGUUCUAGACCUUGAAUUUUGUUUUCUGCAUCGCUCAACACCUCGGGUAGACCUUUUAUAACAUCUUCUACCCAUUGUCACACAUUGUAGAUGGCAUAUAACCGCUGUUCCAUCACACUGUAUCAUUGCUCUGCCUAUUUCCAUGGCUAGGACCAGAAGCUCAAGGGUACUCAUUAUUUUGCCAUUGCUACAGGCCCUCAUCAAACCCUUCCAGGUGACUGGUCAUGUCCAAUUCACAAGACUGUCCCUAAGGUAAUAUUCCUAAAGCCCGUGUAUGUAAAUGUUUAGGGUGGUGGGUCGGGAGUAUGCUUGUCUUAUCCAACCAGAUAACACCCAAGUAUCUGAUAGAUAAUCCUGGUCCUGGUGUUUUGUCUGUAUUCACCAGCCAUCCCUUGUGCAGUCAGAUGAGCCACAGGCAUGGGGCUGUUACUUUUAAACUGGAAAGAGACUCUGAGGUUAACAGGAUAUCAUCAAUGUGAUGAAAGAAAAAGACCACUCUCAUGGCGGUCAGCUGCCACAGGGCCCCACGUGCUAGCCUUCCACAACCUGUCUUUAUUUCCCAACAUCUUGGGUGCUCAUGGGAAUUUCCUUAGUCUGCUGACUGGCUCACCAAUUGUUGGAGGGCACCUCAUGGGCCAGCAAGAGCAAAGGGAAAGAACAGAUCCUCCCCCAGAGCCUUCUGUGGGAACAUGGCUCUGCUGACAAUUGAUUCCAGGCUUCUAUCCUCCAGAAUGUCAGCGAAUACACGUCUGUUGUGUUCAGCCACCCAGCCUUUCUAGUGCCUGGGUGUGAUCGCGGAGUCUCCAUGGGGCGUUUACAAAAACCGACCCCUUCAGGGCUUUGGGGCCUAAAGGCAGGACUCCCAUGAACACUUGCCACAUCAUACGGCCCCACAGUGUUUCCAACAGAUCAGGUGUAUUAGGAAAACCCCACAGGGUGGCCCCUCAAGACAGCAGUCACCUCCCAGUUUGUGGCUGAGUUCUGCAGGUUCUGAGUGUGACACCCCUCAUGGAAGACCAAGGCCCCAUCCUGAGUUUCCUUGGGAGACGUCACCAAGACCAAGCCAGCCCUUCUUGGUUUUCCUGGAGCAGCCUACUGAUUGUUUUUGACUCCUCAUAGAUUUUUAUUUUAUUUUUAUUUUUUUUAAUUAAAAAAAAAAAAUCAGAGUUCCCGUCUUGGCACAGUGGUUAAAGAAUCCGACUAAGAACCAUGAACUUUCAGGUUUGAUUCCUGCCCUUGCUCAGUGGGUUAACGAUCCGGCGUUGCCAUGAGCUGUGGUGUGGGUCACAGACGUGGCUUGGAUCCCGAGUUGCUGUGGCUCUGGCGUAGGCCGGUGGUUACAGCUCUGAUUAGACCCCUAGCCUGGGAACCUCCAUAUGCCGCGGGAGUGGCCCAAGAAAUGGCAAAAAGUCAAAAAAAAAAAAAGAAAAAA
rnacentral:lncRNA from 1 species